rnacentral:rRNA from 1 species
ACUGCUCAGUAACACGUAGCUAACCUAACCUAAAGUCAGAGAUACCCUCGGGAAACUGAGAAUAAACUCUGAUAGAAAAUUAUUUCUGGAAUGAUUAAUUUUUUAAAUUCGAGCUUUAGGAUGGGGCUGCGGCUGAUUAGGUAGUUGUUGGUGUAAAGGACUAACAAGCCAAUGAUCAGUAAGGGCUCUUAGCGGAGGAGCCCUGAGAAGGAAUCUGAGACACUAUUCCUAGCUCUACGGGGUGCAGCAGUCGAGGAAAUUCUGCAAUGCGCGCAAGCGUGACAGAAUGAGCCAGAGUGUUUGAUUUUCAUCAAACUUUUGUAUGUUGUAAAAAGACAUGCGAAUAAGGACUGGGCAAGACCGGUGCCAGCCGCCGCGGUAAUCCCGGCGGUCCAAGUCGCAUCCACAAUUAUUGGGUCUAAAACAUUCGUAGCUUGCUUUGUAAGUUUCUUGUGAAAUCUGGUAUCUUAAGUGCCAGGCGCGCAAGAAGUACUGCAAGGCUAGAGACCGGAAGACGCAAAGAGUAUGAUUGAGGUAGCGGUAAAAUGUUUUGAUCUCAAUCAGACUAACAAUGGCGAAGGCACUUUGCGAGCACGGAUCUGACAGUGAGGAAUGAAGGCUAGGGGCGCAAAAGGGAUUAGAUACCCCUGUAGUCCUAGCAGUAAACACUGCUCACUAAACAUUAGUACCUCCUCGAGAGGUAUUAGUGCUGUAGGGAAGCCGGAGAGUGAGCUACCUGGGAAGUAUAGUCGCAAGGCCGAAACUUAAAGGAAUUGGCGGGGGAG